rfam:Lysobacter sp. Root96 contig_1, whole genome shotgun sequence.
GGAGUCGGCCAGGCAGUCGCGUCAUCGGAUCGCAAGAUCGGGUGCCGAGGAAAGUCCGGGCUCCACAGGGCACGGUGCCAGGUAACGCCUGGGCGGCGCGAGCCGACGGAAAGUGCAACAGAGAGCAGACCGCCGAACGGCGUCGCAAGACGUGCGUGGUAAGGGUGAAACGGUGCGGUAAGAGCGCACCGCGAGUCCGGCAACGGACCGGCACGGCAAACCCCACCGGGAGCAAGGCCAAAUAGGGAGACUAUGCCGCGGCCCGCGGUGUCUCCGGGUAGGCUGCUUGAGCGUAGCGGUGACGCUGCGCCUAGAGGAAUGACUGCUCACGACAGAACCCGGCUUAUGGCCGGCUCCGCCG